rnacentral:rRNA from 1 species
UACGAAGGGUGCAAACGUUGCUCGGAAUCAUUGGGCGUAAAGCGCACGUAGGCGGCUUCGCAAGUCGGAUGUGAAAUACCUAGGCUCAACCAAGGACGUGCAUCCGAAACUGCGAGGCUUGAGUACAGAAGAGGAUCGCGGAAUUCCCGGUGUAGAGGUGAAAUUCGUAGAUAUCGGGAGGAACACCAGUGGCGAAGGCGGCGAUCUGGGCUGAUACUGACGCUGAGGUGCGAAAGCGUGGGGAGCAAACGGG